GUUUUUUUCGGUCAUUACCCAAAGUUCAUGACCACAGGUGAGGGUCGACACAUAGAUCGACCGGUGAAUCGAGAGUCUCGCCUUGCGGCUCAGCUCUUUCUUCACCACGACAGAUUGGUUAAGCGUCCCCAUCACUGCCGAUGCCGCUCCGAUCCGCCUAUCGAUCUCCCGCUCCAUCCUACCCUGUGAACAAGAUCCCGAGAGUAUGUAUGUAAGUAGUUCAAGUAUGUACAGAAUAUGUAACAUUAUCCCCAUCCCUCACACCCAACAGUAUCACCACUCUUGCUUACAUCCUGGUGAAAUCCUGCACUCGUAAGUGUAAAUCCCUUUCCUUGGUCUACUUCUUAAGUCAGUCCACAGACAUCAACUGGUCCAUCAUCACCAC
rnacentral:lncRNA from 1 species